AGAACAAGUGUCUUGGUUCACAGCAAAGAGGACAAAGAAAACAGCAAGUUUUAGGGGGUUGAAUCCUGGAUUCCCCUGGCAAACACCAUUCUACUUUCCGUCUCUAUGAAUUUGACUACUCGAAGUACCUCAUGUGAAAUGUUGGUGCCAAAUGAACUUUUCUGGUUCUUCUGAAUAUGCCACUGUUGCUGGAGAAAUGUCACUGCUAGAGAACAGAAGACUAUUAUUCCAAAGGGUAUUUGAGACUGACUGAAUCAGGUCUGGAACAUUAUUGAAAUGAGACCCACAAAAGAAGAGAUACUGAGAGGAUGAAGAGAUCCUCCUAGCUUGGCGGAAUACUCUGCUCUGAUGGAAGUACCAUCCUGGUCCAAACAUGAAAGAAUUCCCAACAUCAAGAUUGAUUGAAACAUAUUCAAUGGAUCAUUUGCUCCAGAAGAAGCUGGUUGCCAUGUCUUGAGGACAGUAAACCCUCUGGGGAGGUUCCUGUGGUAAGGAACAAGGGCUCCUGGCAAUAGCCUCUGAGUGAGCCACCUUGAAAAUGGAUUGUCCAGCCCCAGUCAAGCUUUCAGAUGACUGUAGCUCCUGCCAAUGUCUUCACCACAACCUCAUGAGAUCCCAAGCUACAACCACUCAGAACUUCAUCUUUUGGGAAGCACCAGGGAGAGCUGCCUGUGCCUGGCAGAAGCUGCCCAUGCCCCACUGAUACCCCACAGUACUUCCUGUUCUGCUUAGUACUCCUGCUUCUUUCUACAAACAACUGUGAUUCUCUACCUGGGAGCUUCCUCUGGCCACAGGAGCCUGCUCACCUGAUUGGGACACCCUAGCAGUACUGGCUCAUAGAUGGAAGGGACUUGCCUUGUCGCUGAUGAGACUUUCGACUUGGACUUUUGAGUCAAUGCUGGAAUGAGUUAAGACUUUGGGGAACUGUUGGAAGGGUGUGAUUGUGUUUUGAAUUGUGAGGACAUGAGAUUUUGAAGAGGCUAAUGGCAGCGUCCCCACCUAAAUCUCUUCUUGAAUUGUAGUUCCCAUAAUCCCCACGUGUCGUGGGGUGGAGCCGGUGGAGAUAAUUGAAUCAUGGGAACACUUUCCCCCAUGCUGUUAUUGUGAUUGUGAAUUCUCACGAGAUCUGAUGGUUGUAUAAACGCCUUCCCUCUUCGCUGGGCACUCAUUUUUCUCCUUCCUGCCACCAUGUGAAGAAGGAUAUGCUUGCUUCUUGUGCCAUGAUUGUAAGUUUCCUGAGGCCUCCCCAGCCAUGCUGAACUGUGAGUCAAUUGAACCUCUUUCCUUUAUAAAUUACCUAGUCUUGGAUAUGUUUUUAUUAGCAGUGUGAGACAGGACUAAUACACAAAGGAUUUGAAAUCACAAAGGAGCUGUUUUCUGCUCCACCAUGGAAGUCUCACAUGCAUCACAUCUAUUCAUAUCCAUUUGCCACAACUAGACAAAAAGUCCUUUUUAAAAUCUGCCUAGAGAUCAGGAAGUAUUAUCUCUGGAUGCCUAGGCAGGAGAGGUGAAUCAGAUAUUGGUGGGCACUAGUGUGUUCUAUGAUACAUAGCUUAAUAAAAAUAAGUUUCAGAUAAAUCUAAAUAUACAUUAGAAUACUGUAACCACAGUAGAAAAAAAUAUUGGCUCCUUUUUGUGAUAAACUAAUGAUGGUAAAUGCACCCUAUUUAAGCAAGAAAAGAAACUGAUCUGCCAUAAAGAAAACAAUGACAUAUUUAACUACAAAAUAUGUUACAAAAUAUUAAUAUCCCUAAUGGACAAAUGAGUUCCAAUAAAUGGAUAACAAAAAACCAAUAAGUCUGUAGAAAAAUGGAGAAAAUAUAUUUGCAGAAUAUUUAUACAGGUGGUAAUGAAAUUGACAAUGAUGUUUAUCAUCAGCAGUAAACAGUAAAAAGUUUCACCCACCAGGACUAUAGAAAUUUUUCAAAUGGAUAAUUUUCAGAAUCAGCAAAGUUAUAGAAAAGUAGGUACCAGUUGCACAUACCAUUGGAGGAAAUGUAAAAUAUAGUUACCUUGUGGAAAGUAAUCUGAUGUAAUAUAUUAAAAUUUUAUCCAUGUAUGUCCUAUAAUUCAGCAAUUCCAUGUUGGGGAAUCCAUACAAAGAAAUACUUAUACACAUGCAGAAGGAGCUAAGUUUAAGAAAGCACACAUUUCAGCGGGUUGUGGUGUCUCACCCCUGUAAUCCCAGCACAUUGGGAGGCCGAGGUUGGUGGAUCACCUGAGGUCAGGAGUUUGAGACCAGCCUGGCCAACAUGGUGAAACCCUGUCUCUACUAAAAAUACA
rnacentral:lncRNA from 1 species